GAAAUGCGAUAAUUAAUGUGAAUUGCAGAAUUCAGUGAAUCAUCGAGUCUUUGAACGCACAUUGCGCCCCCUGGUAUUCCGGGGGGCAUGCCUGUCCGAGCGUCAUUGCUGCCCUCAAGCACGGCUUGUGUGUUGGGCUUCCGUCCCUGGCAACGGGGACGGGCCCAAAAGGCAGUGGCGGCACCAUGUCUGGUCCUCGAGCGUAUGGGGCUUUGUCACCCGCUCCCGUAGGUCCAGCUGGCAGCUAGCCUCGCAACCAAUCUUUUUAACCAGGUUGAUCUCGGAUCAGGUAGGGAUACCCGCUGAACUUAAGC
rnacentral:misc_RNA from 1 species